CAGCCGCCGCGGGAAUACCGAGGGUGCGAGCGUUAAUCGGAUUUACUGGGCGUAAAGCGUGCGUAGGCGGCUUUUUAAGUCGGAUGUGAAAUCCCUGAGCUUAACUUAGGAAUUGCAUUCGAUACUGGGAAGCUAGAGUAUGGGAGAGGAUGGUAGAAUUCCAGGUGUAGCGGUGAAAUGCGUAGAGAUCUGGAGGAAUACCGAUGGCGAAGGCAGCCAUCUGGCCUAAUACUGACGCUGAGGUACGAAAGCAUGGGGAGCAAACAGGAUUAGAUACCCCAGUAGUCCCUGUCUCUUAUAC
rnacentral:rRNA from 1 species